UGAAAAUGUUUUGUACAUCUGGAAACAUUUUGGUCACCCCCCUACCCCCCUCUAUCUAACCUCACACACACCCUGAGACGAAGUGCUCGCAACGGCACUGAGUAUACAUCUUUUGAAAACAGGCGAGGGGUUAUUGCAUGCAUGUAUUUCUAGUUUAUAGUAGAUUACAUUGAUAUCGAAGGAACUAAGACUCGGUUCCGAAAUAUCACACACGCGAACCGACUUGACCGCGUAGCUCAGUUGGCAGAGCAUUGAGCUAGUAUUCCAAAGGUGGUAGGUUCGAUUCCCACCGUAGCCAGGCAUAUUUUUCAAGUUUGCCCGGUGUGGAUAUACACUCAGAGUAACAUCACAAGCAUCAUAUUCGCCUGAGUAUAAAUUACACCAACACAGAGA
rnacentral:lncRNA from 1 species